rnacentral:rRNA from 1 species
UACGAAGGGGGCUAGCGUUGCUCGGAAUUAUUGGGCGUAAAGCGCACGUAGGCGGUUCGUUAAGUCGGAUGUGAAAGCCCUCGGCUCAACUGAGGAAGUGCACCCGAAACUGGCGAGCUUGAGUACGAAAGAGGAUCGCGGAAUUCCCGGUGUAGAGGUGAAAUUCGUAGAUAUCGGGAGGAACACCGGUGGCGAAGGCGGCGAUCUGGGUCGAUACUGACGCUGAGGUGCGAAAGCGUGGGGAGCAAACAGG